rnacentral:rRNA from 1 species
UGCAAGUCGAGCGAGCUGAAUUCAAAGAUCCCUUCGGGGUGAUUUGUUGGACGCUAGCGGCGGAUGGGUGAGUAACACGUGGGCAAUCUGCCCUAAAGACUGGGAUACCACUUGGAAACAGGUGCUAAUACCGGAUAACAACAUGAAUCGCAUGAUUCAAGUUUGAAAGGCGGCGCAAGCUGUCACUUUAGGAUGAGCCCGCGGCGCAUUAGCUAGUUGGUGGGGUAAAGGCCUACCAAGGCAAUGAUGCGUAGCCGAGUUGAGAGACUGAUCGGCCACAUUGGGACUGAGACACGGCCCAAACUCCUACGGGAGGCAGCAGUAGGGAAUCUUCCACAAUGGACGCAAGUCUGAUGGAGCAACGCCGCGUGAGUGAAGAAGGUUUUCGGAUCGUAAAGCUCUGUUGUUGGUGAAGAAGGAUAGAGGCAGUAACUGGUCUUUAUUUGACGGUAAUCAACCAGAAAGUCACGGCUAACUACGUGCCAGCAGCCGCGGUAAUACGUAGGUGGCAAGCGUUGUCCGGAUUUAUUGGGCGUAAAGCGAGCGCAGGCGGAAUGAUAAGUCUGAUGUGAAAGCCCACGGCUCAACCGUGGAACUGCAUCGGAAACUGUCAUUCUUGAGUGCAGAAGAGGAGAGUG